rnacentral:lncRNA from 1 species
GAUCGGGCCCGACGGCCUCCCCAAGCCACGCGGCGCCCGCCCGUCGCCGUCCACCGCACCGGAGCCACCUAGCGCCCGACCCCCCCCUUGCUGCGAUGGAGCUCCACCUCGCCGGCGUGCCAGUCGCCUGAGGUCCCCGCCGACGGCGCCGUCGCCCCUUCGUCCUCGUCUCCCCCUCGCCGCGAUGCCGCGCGGGACGCCUCCGCCACGGCCACCUCGUCGUCACCCCGUCGUGCCAGCCCCGGCUCCUCCUCGAGCAGGCUUUGCUCAACUACAGGGCUCGGUGAGCCCCGUCCUCUCUCUCUCCCUCGUUCUCUGACGCCGGCGCCGUCCACCGCGUACCGACCGCGCUCGGCCCUGCGCCUCGCCAUGGUCCUCCGCCCCCUUUGAACACCCCCCGCUACCGUCCCACGACCGCGGCGACUUACCGCCCGUCCGCGCUCACCGCCGACCCACAUCUGCCCCGCGGCCACCCUGCCGGCCACCACGCCACCGCCCUGGCCGGCGCCCCACCGUGCCCCGGUGGCCUCGCCUCGCCUCCCCGAUCGGGCUCGGCCCUGGUCGGGUGCGCCCAUAAGCGCACUGCUGGCGCCCGNNNNNNNNNNCGCCCGCCCGUCGCCGUCCACCGCACCGGAGCCACCUAGCGCCCGACCCCCCCCUUGCUGCGAUGGAGCUCCACCUCGCCGGCGUGCCAGUCGUCUGAGGUCCCCGCCGACGGCGCCGUCGCCCCUUCGUCCUCGUCUCCCCCUCGCCGCGAUGCCGCGCGGGACGCCUCCGCCACGGCCACCUCGUCGUCACCCCGUCGUGCCAGCCC